AGAGUUUGAUCCUGGCUCAGGACGAACGCUGGCGGUGUGCUUCACACAUGCAAGUCGAGCGAAUGAAGAAGAUAGCUUGCUACUUUUGGAUUUAGCGGCGGACGGGUGAGUAAUAUAUAGGAAUCUGCCCUAGAGCGGGGAACAACAGACCGAAAGGUUUGCUAAUGCCCCAUAGGUACGCAGUCUUCGGAUUGUUUAUUAAAGGAGUAAUCCACUCUAGGAUGAGCCUGUAUCCGAUUAGCUAGUUGGCGGGGUAAAGGCCCACCAAGGCUACGAUCGGUAGUUGGUCUGAGAGGAUGAUCAGCCACAAUGGGACUGAGACACGGCCCAUACUCCUACGGGAGGCAGCAGUGGGGAAUUUUACACAAUGGGGGAAACCCUGAUGUAGCGACACCGCGUGAACGAAGAAGCCUUUUGGGGUGUAAAGUUCUGUCGGCUGGAACGAAAAAAAUGACGGUACCAGCAAAGGAAGCAUCGGCUAACUACGUGCCAGCAGCCGCGGUAAGACGUAGGAUGCAAGCGUUGUCCGGAUUUAUUGGGCGUAAAGAGUUCGUAGGCGGUUAUUUAAGUCUGGUGUUAAAUACUGUGGCCCAACCACAGAACUGCAUUGGAUACUGGAUGACUUGAGUGCGGUAGAGGCGAGUGGAAUUCCCAGUGUAGCGGUGAAAUGCGUAGA
rnacentral:rRNA from 1 species